UACAGAGGUGGCAAGCGUUGUUCGGAAUUACUGGGCGUAAAGGGCGCGUAGGCGGUCUUUUAAGUCUUGUGUGAAAUCCCUCGGCUCAACUGAGGAACUGCACGAGAUACUGGAAGACUUGAGUUCGGGAGAGGGAAGCGGAAUUCCGGGUGUAGCGGUGAAAUGCGUAGAUAUCUGAAGGAACACCAGUGGCGAAAGCGGCUUCCUGGUCCAGUACCGACGUUCAGGCACGAAAGCGUGGGGAGCAAACAGG
rnacentral:rRNA from 1 species